rnacentral:rRNA from 1 species
AGCCUACACAUGCAAGUCGAACGGUAGCACAGAGAGCUUGCUCUCGGGUGACGAGUGGCGGACGGGUGAGUAAUGUCUGGGAAACUGCCUGAUGGAGGGGGAUAACUACUGGAAACGGUAGCUAAUACCGCAUAACGUCGCAAGACCAAAGAGGGGGACCUUCGGGCCUCUUGCCAUCAGAUGUGCCCAGAUGGGAUUAGCUAGUAGGUGGGGUAACGGCUCACCUAGGCGACGAUCCCUAGCUGGUCUGAGAGGAUGACCAGCCACACUGGAACUGAGACACGGUCCAGACUCCUACGGGAGGCAGCAGUGGGGAAUAUUGCACAAUGGGCGCAAGCCUGAUGCAGCCCUGCCGCGUGUAUGAAGAAGGCCUUCGGGUUGUAAGGUACUUUCAGCGGGGAGGAAGGUGUUGUGGUUAAUAACCGCAGCAAUUGACGUUACCCGCAGAAGAAGCACCGGCUAACUCCGUGCCAGCAUCCGCGGUAAUACGGAGGGUGCAAGCGUUAAUCGGAAUUACUGGGCGUAAAGCGCACGCAGGCGGUCUGUCAAGUCGGAUGUGAAAUCCCCGGGCUCAACCUGGGAACUGCAUUCGAAACUGGCAGGCUAGAGUCUUGUA